rnacentral:lncRNA from 1 species
UGGGGCAGGGCGGAGAGCGCGCAGGUAGAAGGUCGGGCGGCCACGUCGCCCCUUCGCCCUCUCUCGGACCCCAGGGCUCCGGUCUGGCGGCCGUGUCCCCGGCCAGUGGAGCACUGGCGCGGAAGGCGCCAGCCACCCGGCCGGCCGGCCGGCCGGCCGGCCGGCCGGCCGGCCGGCCGGCCGGCCGGCCGGCCGGCCGGCCGGCCGGCCGGCCGGCCGGCCGGCCGGCCGGCCGGCCGGCCGGCCGGCCGGCCGGCCGGCCGGCCGGCCGGCCGGCCGGCCGGCCGGCCGGCCGGCCGGCCGGCCGGCCGGCCGGCCGGCCGGCCGGCCGGCCGGCCGGCCGGCCGGCCGGCCGGCCGGCCGGCCGGCCGGCCGGCCGGCCGGCCGGCCGGCCGGCCGGCCGGCCGGCCGGCCGGCCGGCCGGCCGGCCGGCCGGCCGGCCGGCCGGCCGGCCGGCCGGCCGGCCGGCCGGCCGGCCGGCCGGCCGGCCGGCCGGCCGGCCGGCCGGCCGGCCGGCCGGCCGGCCGGCCGGCCGGCCGGCCGGCCGGCCGGCCGGCCGGCCGGCCGGCCGGCCGGCGGCGGCGGCGGCGGCGGCGGCGGGAGGAGGAGGAAGAAGAAGAGAAAGAGAAAGUUUGGCGCAGGGGGAAGGCGAGCGGGACGCAGCGAGCGAGCAGGGCGCGGGCGCGGGGAGCGCGGGCGGCGGCGGCCGGGCGCGGGAGCCGGGAGGGGGCAGGACGAGCCCCAUGCAAAGCAGCCCCGGCGCCCCGAGGAGCCCCGCGUCCGGGCGGUGGCGGCGGGAGGAGGAGGAGGAGCAGGCGGCGGCGGCGGCGGCGGGAAAAAAAAAAAAAAGAGGGAAAAGUUGCCACUUACGCGGUUGCUUCUCCGGCGGCGGCGGCUGCAGCGGCGCUGCUGGCGGCGGCGACGGCGGCGGCGGGAGCUGGCGGCGCUUUUAAUCCCGAAAAGAGGCGCUCGGGCCGCGGAGCCCAUCAAGGCAGCAGCGGCGGCUGGCGGGGGUCGGCUGCGGCGGAGGACGCGCUGCUGGCGGCGGCGGCGGCGGCGGCGGCGGAGCUGGAGCGCGCUCGGCGGAGCCCGGGGCGGGAGGCGGCCGCAGCCGGGGAGCCAGGCCGCCGCCGCCGCUGCCGCCGAGCAGCAUGGUUGGCGGGGAGUUUACAGCCCCGGAGCGGGCAGGGGCCACGGAGGAGAAGCGGCGGCGGCGGCGGCGGCGGCUGCAGCGGCGCUGCUGGCGGCGGCGGCGGCUGCAGCGGCGCUGCUGGCGGCGGCGGCGGCGGCGGGAGGAGGAGGAGGAGGCGGCGGCGGCGGCGGCGGCGGCUGCAGCGGUCGGAGGGGACGCGCUGGAAGUGGGAGCUGAUGAGUGAAAAGAAAAAAAAGUCUUUGGAUCUUUAUUCUGCUAAUUAG